rnacentral:lncRNA from 1 species
GAUCCUAAUAGUGAGUAGUUGUAGAAUUGGAUAAGGUCAACUCAGCCUGAGUUAUAGGAAAGGCAGACUCAAAGCACGGAGAUAGUUAUAAUCAAAUAAGGGAGCCAGGAGAAUUCGAAGUGGUAGUGGACUCCCUAGUUAUGAGGUGGAGGCUACUAGUUUAGAUACAUACUUUUGGGCAGUAGGGGAAGUUUGCAGGUCGAGGUAAUAUGGUCAGAAUCAUAAGAAUAAGAGGUUUCUGCUCUAGUUCAAGGUAGAGCGCGGGAAGGUCCGUUUAGAGUCUUGUUAUUUUGGCUAAGUUCGUAGAUAGAUGGAUCCCAAUCAGAAUGCAAGUAUUUGUGAGUGUUCCUCUAGGGUUUGAUUCUUGUCAGUAGGGGUUGUUGUCUUAGAGCAGUGUUUUCAUCUCUUGUUCAUUAGUUGGAUCCUAUUACCUUACUUGGGUUAUUAUUAUGACUAUUAUUAUAUAUGUGUAUAGACCGUACUCAUUCUUUUAAUAACACCGCAUAGUCUUCGGGGAGCAUCCAUAGGCCUACGAGCGACCAUGGACUAGACUAAUCAAGUAGCUGAGCGCAUUCUCAAAGUGCUAUCAAUAAUUCUUUGUAUCUUUAGGUUGGGUAACUCAUUGUUAAGAUAGGGUAACUCAGAGUCUGUCUUCAAUAAAGCACGGUAGGUCACUAACUCUUCAAGUAUGGUAAUUCAUUCUUAAAUGCGGGGGCGUGGGGGUCCAGCUCAUUCUUGUGUAGCAUCUAUAAGUCUGUAAGCUACCAUGGAUUCAGUCUGAGAGCGGUACAUUCACUCUUUUUUUUGGAUAACUAAUUAAGAGAGCGCCCCUGCACCCACUUGAAGGUACAUCGGAAGGGAAGCUACAUCGGAUAGUCAACCCUAGGCAGGAAACUAAGGACACCAAGAAAGAGGGGCCCAUCGUUAAUAGAAAAACAAGAUUCCAGUAAGUAGUGUGGGGCUCGUAGGCAGUGAUCCGGAUCUGUAGCUAAAGAUGUGAAGUCAGCAGUGCCUGUUUGGUAAUUAUAAGAUAUAGAAUUAGAUCGAGGAGUAACAGGACAGGAAGCAAGGAUCCGAUGAAGUGGUUAAAUAAUCUCCGUUUUUAGUUUGAAGCAGUGCUUACUUAGAUGGAGGAGUGUUCGUUUUAGUUCCGAGCCCAAUGCUUACUAGUAGUAGUGAGUUUCCAGUUAGCACAAGUUGUGUUAUGAGAAGCACCAGUUCAACUCUUUAUUAUCUAUUUGAUUAUAAUAGUCACAGUUGUUUGUCCCGUUGCUUGCCGUGCCGUUUGUAUACGUUGCUUGCCUGGUCAACUACAUGAGAUAAAGCAGUACCCGUUUUAUGGACAUUGGUGGCAGACUCAUCGAUAGGGUGUAUAAGGGCCGAGCUCCUAUUCGAGUUAUUGUUAGCAGUAGGCUUUCAGCACCUUUGAUUUGGUCCUCGCAUUCCUACUUUUCACUUGCGCAGGGAAACCUCAUUCUGACUUGCUUUUUUUGAUUCUUGUGCUUCCUACUAUUAGUCUAUUGCUCUGGCAUGCGCUAUGCUCUUAUCAGUACAACUAUGAGCCCUAUCGUUUUUACUAUGAGCCCUAUAGCCUCGUAUCACAAGAUAAGACUUUUAGUCAGGAGUAACGGAAUGAGCUACUUUGAAGAAUCAGAAUCCAAAUCCGUAAUGUAAGCUUUAGAGUCGGGAGUGUCGGGCUAAGAGAAAGGAAAGGCAAACUAGAACCAAGGAAUGAAACAGGCGAGUAGAACAAUGAAAUCGGCAAACAAGACUUCAAGUUUGUAGUUUAAGGCUUAGAUCCUGAACUCAAGAAUGAGAGGCGGGAGUUAGUUAGUAAACAGAUAGAGGAAAUGAGAAAUAUCGGAAUGAUGGGUAUAGUUCUGGAAGGUAAGUUUAGAGAUGGAAUCCGUGUGUUACGUGCCAAGUCACUACGUAAGUGUAGCGGCAGGAGCCCGUGGGGAGUUUCAAGUUGUACUCUGCUCGUUAAGUCUAGUGAUAGAGUUUCAUCCCUGCUCGUUAAGUCUAGUGAUAGAGUUCGGGCGGUUCUUGUGCUGCAGUAAAUAGAGGUGGGUUGGUGCGAGGCGAGAGAUGGCUCUUAGCACCUUAUUUGUUGGCUCCGAGCCUUACUUAUAUUAAUUAAAGCAGUUUAUUGCUCUAGUACUAAGGGAGACAUCCGCUGCCAGGCAAGCAUAUACUGAAUCAUGUAAUUAGUUGACUACGGUCAGGAGAAGAGGAUUGAUCCGCACACUAACAGUAAAGGGAGCCGUGUCAUCGAGACCACUACCACUAAUGAAUCUGUUAGCAGAGAUGAGCAGCUGGGCUUGUUAAAAGAAGUAGGCGUAGUAGUAUUGGCGAACACUGGACUUUCCGUUAAGAAAUCAGAAUGAGUUUACAGAGGAGUAGUAUAGGAUCAUGAGUUUCCAGCCCAAACUUGUAUACGAGUAGUCCAGAGCCAGAGUAGAGGGAGAGUUGCCAGCUACCCUAUUUGUAGUCUUAGUUGCCCGAGUUGGUUGAAGCUAAGUGCUCUGUUUUAGGGUAAGUAGUAGCUUGUCCCUGUUACUGUUCCUGUGAGAGUGAGAGUUGCUAGUUGAAUUCUUUGGUCAGCCCAGAAACUAAGCUGCGGUAAGUAAACUCUAUUCUUUUAUUACUUGGUUUCAUUCUGACCUUUGAGUGAACACUACCCUGAAACUGACUAUAAGGGCCUCUCUACCACUACUCAUAAGAGUCGGGGAUCCACUAACUGGUCUUCCACUCAGGAAGUCAGAAUAGAAAUAGAAGGAAUCCAACCAAUAACAAUAGGAAUUGCACUACCGGCAAGCAGACCAGAACGACCACUGGAAAGGCUGAACCCACGACUAGAAAGGUUGGAAACACUGCUUAUAAUUUCAUUACUUAAUAAUAAAGAAAGAACCUAGUGCUUCUCGGGAGCCAACUACGACUUUUGAAUUAACAAAUAGGAAGAACACUGACUACUAUCAGACGCGAACUACUGACAAAAGGAAUUGAUCCUGGCCCUCAUUCUUUGGACUUGGAGCUUGGGACUGCCCCUUACCUUCUUCGAUUCCUACUGGCCACACUUUCAUGCUUGAAACACUGGUAUGGGUCCUCGCUUACUGGUUUGGAGCAUCCCUCUCCUUGCCCGGAGUCUGACUUUAUGGCUUAUGGGCCUGCCACUGUUCGCUUGCAUUCUUCCUAUCCAGUAUCUAAUUAUUACACCUUCUCUUAUUCUUCCUAUCCAGUAUCUAAUUAUUACCUUCCUGACCCUAAUUACGUAUUUCAAUCCAUAAGGUGGUGGUUCAAUCUGCUAGUUUGUAACUCAAUUCUUAGUUUCAUCGGUGCGAUUCCUUUUGUGAAUGCUAGUUUGCGAGUUGGGAUUGGCUGUUUGGAGCUAACGAGUAGGGGUGACUUUUCUUAUUCUUGUGCUACUGAGCUGAAGCCCCUGAAUCCGGUGUCCACUCUUUGACUACUUGAGAUUGAGUUCUGUAUGUUACUAUUUGAUUCUGACUUGAAGAAUUCGGCUCCUAAGUCUUCCAAUUGCAGAGAAUGGGUCAUAUGAGAACUAAUACUACUUGGUCAUAUGUUCUUUAGUAACCUGUUCUUUAGUAGGGGAUAUAGGAUGGAAUCUCUUCUACCUCUGUAAACUGGCAAUACUCACUUUGCUGGCAAUACUUAACUACACUGCCUCACCUGUCACUUAAGAUCAGAUUCCAUCUCUGCUCUGGGCUCGAUUCAUUGGUGAACUGAACUUAUUGAUUGUAUGCCGCUGCUUGCCUACUUGUCUAUCCGUAGCUUGGUGGACUCGGUAACAACUUAUUAGAAAGCUUAUUUAUUACUGACUUAGCCUUUGUAGGUAAAACUCCCUGGCUUUGAUUCUGGAACUAAUGCCUUAGGGCCUUGCUUGCUAGUCCGAGCCUGUCUCUCUUCGGGUUAAGCCUGUAGUUCACCUAUAUUGGGCUUGCUUUUACUUGGGGGAAAGCCUUUAGCUCACUAGCUUCAUUCUGUUGGUCCUGUCUCUCGUUCUGAAACUAAUAUAUAUGGUUCUGUAUUAGCGGGGCGCGGGUUUCAUCUUUUCUAUUAGUAGUUUGAUUAUGGCUAGGUAAAGGAAGAGUUUGGUGCCGUGCCGGGCCCUGGCUUAGUUAAAGGAAGAGUUCGGUGCCCCACCCCACUAGAGAGAAGUCUGGGUUCGGGUUCCAGUCCAGUAGUAUACGCUUGGUUAGUAGUUGCUUGGCCCUGCCGACAUGAAUAAUAAGUAAAUCCAACCCUUCAGUCAUAGCUAAGGAAAUCAGAAAUCAGUCAUCACCUCUGGCUACUGGCGGAAUGCUACUGGCGGAAUAAGGAAUUGAUCCAAGGUUAGCACAAGUAAAUAAGUCUAACUAACUACCCUAUGUAAACCAAUACAUAAGUAGUUAACACCAAGUUCUAGAAUGGAAUAAGUAGUUAACACCGACCCUGUUACUUCAAUCUAGAUCCUCACUCGGCUCUGUCAACAAUUCUCAUUCUCCUAUCGAGUUUCAUCCGCUCUCCUAUAAUAUAUAAAGAUAGAUCAUUCAUUUAGUGGGAGCUUGGCCGGUAGCAUCAGUAUUUGUUUCAGAGGAAGGAAAGGCAGCUUAGGUUGGGUAAGAGCAAAAUCAUGUAGCGGUAGAAUAGAGGUCCAAUUCAGAAACUACGCUCUUUAGCUCUUUGGCUCGGUCCUCGCAUUCCGGCUUGAAAGCUUUUUUCUUUCUUUUCACCCAAGAGAGUAGUAUGCUUCCACACAACCCGGUAUCCUGAACCUUGCGCUUCAUUCUCUCUUUAUUCCAAUUCAUUCUCUCUUUUCUUUCUGCAAUUACUUAUCUAUUUAUUGUAUUAUUAUUACUACUACAAUUACUUAUCAUCAUUAAAAGAAUGAACAUCAAGCAAUAGGCCUAUAGGUAUAAUCCAACAAAUAAGUAGACGACAUAGACACGAUCCAUAGCACAUCCAGGUAUAAGAGCAACCACAGAAACUAGAAAUGAAGCUAGCCCCCCUUUCAUUGGGAACUCCGCCCUUAUACCCUUGUUAUGAGCCUAGUUUUCAAUCUCACUUUACUGCCUGACAUACCAAGCUUUCAUUCUAACUAUCCUGCCCCGGUUUUUGUACCCCCUACUGAUUUAAAUGACUAUGUGCGAUUGAUUGUGAGUCUUCCACUUGAUAGUGAGAUUCUUUAUGAACUUCUUGAUUCUUAUUAAUAGUAGUUGAUUUCUUUAUUGACUAUUCUCUCAUUCUUUAGCCACUGACAUUGGAUCUGGCUCUCCUGGCUUUCACCCUAACAGCCCUACUAGCUAUCAAACAAGAACUCCUUACUCUUCUUCUUUAGCUUGUCAUUAGCCAACCCUUACCUGUAUUCUUACUUCUUUGCUUUAACCUACCUCUCUGUGCUUUACUCUCUACUUUGAGCUUUGGCCUAACACUACGGAAUCCGAGGCUUGCUUUCCUUUCUAUUAGCCUGUGACUACAGCUUCGAAUACUUUAGCGUAUAAUAAGUAAGUUCACUACUAAGUAAGUAAGUUCAUCUAACUCGCCUAUGAACCUCAGUCCCUAGAGGUAACGAUAAGUAAAAGAAUAAGAGCAGUCAGCGUAAGAGUCAACCUGGUAACGAUAAGUCAAAGAAUAAGAAUGCAAAUGCAACACACAAGGGGAAAAGCAUUGAAACGGCUCUAUCGUAGGCAACUUCGAAUAAAACUAGUGCUACCUGUACGAAAACUAGAAACAAAGAAGAACAAACCCUACGAAGGAGCAGAAUGGAACUUGACCCGCUUAGGCAUAUCCCUCUCCUCUUAUAGGCUUAGGCAUAUCCCUCUCCUCUUAUAGUAUUUCCAUCCCGCCUUUCAUUCUCGUUUGCUACCCCCCUUCUUCCAUUCUUGAAUCCAGUAUUAGGCUUCUGCUCUUCCCUUUCAAACUGACACUACACCUACCCUUUGGGGGUUGGAGCCUGACUGACACUACUGUUAGUUAGCCCACCACUGCGUAGAAAGACGGAUUGCCUGAACCGAGAUUUGAGCCUGAUUCUCCGCACUAAGUAAAUUAGUGUAAUCCUAGCCUAGGUCGAGUGUUGUAAGAGGAAAGUACUGGUUUCGUAUCAGCACCAGGGAAAGUUGUGGUCGGGUCGGUGGAGAGAGGUGAUUGUAUGGAAGUAGAAGGAGGUGGAGGUUCAGAAGGUGAUUGAUUGGCUUGCUUUCCCCUACUAGCACUGUUAUUGGCUUUUUCCCUUCUUUUAUGGGCUUUACGUCUUGUUGGGGUCGAUGACACCUCUUUCACUUAUUAACACACUCCACUUCUUGUACAAGCCCAACUUAUAUAUACGCGUCCACUGCUGGCCUUUCUUUUACUGAGCACCACUCACUAACGCGCCAACAAGCAACGAACAACAAGAAGUCUUCUUCUGCACGCAUAUAGAUGAUAGUCAUCACAACACCUCACUGCGCUUGUCGUGGAGAUAGGUUCGGUGCUCUAGUUUCAUCUCGAGUGGAAUUGUCAAAAGAAUAAGGAUAAGAUGCAUAAGAAGCAACUGCACAAGCUGCGGAAGAAACAACAGCACAAGACUAAGCAAGGGCAACUAAGUGUGUGAGGAGUUUUCGGUAGUUCGCUUUGUUUUGUGACUUUCUUCUAAAAGUAGAAAGAGCACUCUAUUUUCUUACUUCAAUAAGCAACUCGGGCUGCAUCUUUAGAGAGUUAGUCUUUUCGAAAGCCCGAGUGAGCUCUUUCUUUCGCCAAGGUGCGUUAGCUAUAUUCUUUUCUUUCGCCAAAGUGCUUACGUGCGUCUUUACCCCGAGGGAACUAUUAGUUUAUAGAUUCUCUGCCUUUGCAUUCAAUUAAACUUUAGCACUCUAUUCAACAAACAAGGGAACAAGCCCUAUAGCGUAAGUGAGUUCUGAGUUCGAACAACCAAGUGGUAGAUAACCAGAAGAUGCAUUAGAAGCCGGAUCAGUAUAAUAAGUAUAUGAUUAUUACUUGAAAUCAGUUCCGCGUUAAGUAUUGCCUGUUGAGGAGAGUUCUUAGCACUUAUUUCAUGCAAGUUAGCAAGUUUAGUAUCAAUCAAAUGGGUAAUUAGGGAAUCAGAGGUUCAGCAGUUCCCAAGUCGGCACCCGCUCACUGACGUGCAACAAAAGAAUAAGUUGAAAGAAACAAGUGGAGUAUAUAAGCUUCUAUAGAAAGAUAAGAAGCUGUGUCUUGCAUAGAUAGAGUGAUUAUAGAGUCAUUAUUGAAGUCUAAAGAAUCAACAGUGGAAAGCUCAGUUCGCCUUUACUCCUAUGUAUAAGCAGAAGCCAGAGCAGGAUAUGAAGAUGGGGAGCAAGUCAAUUACAAAAGUGAACAGAACAAGCAUAAGGAGUUACACCGAUAUUUUCUAUAAAGAAGUAAUGAGGGUAAUAGAUAGAUUCAUUCUAUUGGUGUGUUUGUAAGAGGAGCAGCUUUAUUAUAUUCCUUUGCUUUGAUAUAGCCGGGUGAGAUAGAAUCAAUUACUGUUUGACUUUACUCUUCACUCUCAUCUCAAGAUUCCAUUACUGUUUCCUUUGGCGCAAGAAUACUAAGUGGAGGUCUAGCUAAAUUAGCAAAAGACAUAUGAAACUGAAACAAGGGAUUACUUGAUCACUGAACCUGAUCCAGCAGAUGAUCUUGAAACUGAAGACGAUGCCCCUUUACCCUAGGGAGUAGUCCCUUGUGCCUAAGAGGGGGUUCCUACUUUCUUGCCCUUGGCGCACAGUCUCUUCCUUAUUUCUCAGUCGAUCGAUCCCCUCUUUUGUAGCUCCGAUCGUAGCGAGUAUCUCCUUUUUCUCGUGGAAAGAGACUUGGAUCCUCCCGUUAGGCUCUCCCGGGAAGCGUACUAUACACCCUCCUUACAAUAGGGUUUGGGUCAAAGACAACUACGCUUGUGUCUCCUUAAGAUUUGACUCCACCACCCUAUAUUGAUUUGGCUCCCGACUCCCUACCUCCAAACCUACAGUAAAGCCGCCCACCCUUCUGCUUUGACUCCAACCCCCGGUUCACUACAUCCGGUAUAUUAAGAACAGCAACCGCUGAAGCUCGUGAGACUGUUUAUCCGUGGCUGACUCCGAUCGAACUAGAGUAAGACUCACUCUGCUUCCACCAACUGAGACUUCAACGCGGAUCAACCCACUGGAGCUGUUUCUCUGUGUUGAUUUGUUUUCUUCGCUUUCAUUUAACGCCCAGCGGCUGCGGGCUAAUCCCAAUAGCUACAAGGCAGACGGAAAGCCACACCACAACGAUAUGGUCGACUGGUUGUGAAUUAUGCCAAAAAAGAACUACCUGUAACCCUACUAUAAAGAAAAGAGUAGUGCUGCAAUGCAAAGAAAAGAGUAGUGCUGCUUGAAUGCCUCGGGCCAAUUGAGAACUUAUCGGCUUAUGCCAAUCGAUCACGUUUAGCUCUACCAACGCCGGAACAACUGCUAGCCAUAAUGCAAGUAGAAUCUCUUGGUGUUGUCUUCCAACUGCCCGGCGUGCUCCCAGCUCUGCUUGCCUCACUCAAACCAAUUUCCAGCGGAUGAAGAAGAAUCCCGCCCACACAUCGUUCCAUUUCUCGAUCAUAGUGAGGGCAUGAAAAUACAAAUAAAGGGAUUGACACCAAAUUGAAUCCAAGUUUGCUAUCUUUUUUGAAUCGCGUAUUGAUUAUUCGUUGGACAUACUAGCCCUUACCCUCUAAGACGUGAAUUGGAAUUGUGCCAGAAAGACGAAGACAAAAGGCUUUCAGCACCUUGCCUCGAGCAGGGACGAUGAAGAUAGCCCCCUCGGGUUCUUGUAUGGCUGAUGUCUAGUGUGCUUUUGGAGUGUUUAAGCCGCACGUACCACUCCCCUUAGUCUCUCUGCUUCGUUAUGCGAGGCCGCCGUCUUCAAUCACGAUUACGUUGACGACGAACUUCUUCGACUUUACCUUCUCCACUCUUAUUAUGUAAGCGUGAGUCUGGAUAAUGUUUAGACACUCGAGUGCUGUUGCCUUGGUGCUUUCUUUUUGGAUUCUGUGCUUUAAGAUUUCGGAUUUCUUGUUUUCUUCAUCGAUGCUAAACGCCCUCGUUCUUUUCUUCCUUUUGUAAUCGAAGUGGAUUCCUCCGGUUAGAUUUGAGCUCUACUGCAUCCCUUCUCGAGGGGACUGGAUUUGAUUAGAGAGCUAGCGGCUCCUGUAUAGGUUUUUUGUUCCCCAUCUAUCAGCCAUAGAUCUGGCUGUUUUCCUCCCGCACCCUUAUCGGGAUUAAGGAAAGCCGGUUUCCAUCCUUUGUCAGGACCCGAGAACCUCGUUACCUCGCUCUCUUGCAUUUUCUUUUGAGUUCUAUAGUAUAUUCGGGUCAAUGUUCUAAAGAAUUAGCAUCAGCAAUGAGUGCAUCUGCUGGGUUCCCAUUCCUACUCAACAACUUGAGAGAGAAUUGAUUUAUCCUACCUAAGAAAAUCCACCACAUCAGGUAAAUUAUAAUCAAGGCCUACUUCAAUGCACACACGGGCAAAGGAAACGCUUUCUCUGCUGUUAUCUUGCCCGGAGAAAAGGGGUGCCAAUGAGAAAUUAGAUGCUGGCUAUAGAAGCGUACCUCGAGAAAAUGGGUAUCUUAGUGAUCCCAAGUUGUCCAAGGUCCUGCCUCCAUAACAUGUUCCUUAGCUGAAGAGUAAGCGAAAUCGAAGGGAAAGGUGCCUUUACGAACCAUAGAAAGAUUUGGGAAGACUAAACGAAUUCCAAGCUCUGCGAAUUAACUUCACCAUAUCUUGAAUAGACGGUGUAGCACCUAAUACCCAAAACAUAGUUAUUCCCUCUUUCCGUAAUGAAAGGAAAUCCAGAUAAGCUACGAUUGGCAUAGAAAUAAGGAUAGAAGGAAAAACGGCAAGCACCCUUGCUAGGCCAGACGACUUAAACACAGCAGUAAGAUUCCGAACUCCUUUAAAAAUAGGGCAACCGCAUGGGACAAAGGAAGGCUCGGCGGGAUGAAAUGACUCUAGGCGAAAAAAGAAGGGAUCGUCAGAAAAAGCUUAUAUAACUUCCACUCAAGCAGGAACUGGCCUUAGGACGAUGGCAGAAGUAUGGAUGGCUGGGAAUCAAAUAAGAUAUAUAUGAAAAAACCGUAUCACAGGCUUGGUGAAACUGUCUCUCUCAAAGCUGCUAUAUUGGAAUCCUAUGCUUCUCUUAAAGCGGCUGUCCGUCUUAUCAUCCUCUGAUGGCUGCUUAUGCGAUACUGCACCUCGUUGGUCAAGUAUUCACGCUUACGUUCCAUUCUUGUGCUGGUUGGUCUUCAAACGCUUGGUAGGAGUAAAGCAAAUAAAGAGUUAGAAGAGUGGAAACCUCUCUUACAUCCACCAAGCCAUUACUCGUGUAGAACAUGGGCUGCUGGACAGAGUGCUUACCGAUGAGAUAGAACAUGGGCUGCUGGACAGAGCGCUUACCAAUGAGAUCUUUUGAGACUGAAUGCUUUGAGUUGGGUUCCUUUCAAAAGAAAGACAGAUCGGGAAAUUGCUAAAGGUUAACCCUAAACUGGCUUUCGUUUUAGCUUAAUGGUAUAUAGGUGAACCUGAACCAGGUCCGAAUGUGUUUUAUUCCUUACCCCGACCCAGAAGUAAGGUCGGUACUAGGAAUAUAUCAAUAUCCAUCCGGGCUUGACUUGCGAAUAACUCACUACCGAAGGAAUGAUUCCUGAUAAGAAAGAGUUUCUACAGUUAACUUCUUCCUAAAAUAGUGAAGGAGCAGUUGAGUCUGUCGAUAAGAAUUUGUUUAUACCCCAGCCUCCUGAAACUUGAUAAGAAAGAGAGUACACUGCUGGUAUUAGUUUCCGGGGACCAAGGAAGUAUUUGUUUCCUGGGCUAAAUGGAAAGUUGUGGAAUUUGACUGUUGAAGUUGAGUCCUUUGUUUAUGCUAGUUAGCGAGUGAAAGGUUGACUUGACUCUGCGCUCGCAAGUCCUGUUUUCCGGGGCAAUUAGAUCUUAAGCUUGUUCUUGUGUUGCUGUAAGUGAAUCAGCUAUUCAAGCAUUGUCCGCAAAAGAGGCUUUCAGCUCCUUAGUUGUCGUAGAGAAAGAAAGUAAGCACCGCCAGUCAAAGUUCGAGUAGCUGGAUUAGACGCGGAUGAGGAAGCUUCGGAAUAGCUUGUAAAGUCUAGGUUCGGUGUCUAAGAGAAGAGGGUGAGAGUCCUCGUAUCGCUAGGUCGAGGAAAGUAUAUUUGAUAAUCAGCUAGAGUAGGUAAAGAAUUGGGAGUGGCCCCCCUGUCUUUGGAAUCUGACCUAACAGCAUAUAGAACCAUCUUCCGCCUCUGGAACAAUACUUGAUACUGCUAAGGAUCUUCAAACUUCCACUCGAAAGUGAGAAUGAAACUCGGACACAAACAAAGAGAAGACUCAUAAGAUCUGGUCGACUCAACUCGCCCCCAUAGAGACUAAACACAAGUGCUUAAUUAGCGCCUUUGCUUGUGACAGUUUCGCUCCGUUAGCGAGUUAUGCUUUAAGAAUUGACAUGGAAUUGGAACUACAACUACUCUCAGGGGGUAACCAAAGAAAGAGGUAGGUUUCUUAAGAUACUCUACUUCAGUACAAUGCGCUAAAUAAGGGUGUUUUGUGACUUUCUCAUCUAUCAGUAGUGCACCACUAUUUAUUUUCUAUCAUAUGUCUACAACACUGCUUAUUAUUUAUCUAAGACAACAAAAGAACAGGAACUUGCCGACCCUACCUUAACUCUCACUGAGUCUUGAUCCGAGUCAACUCGACCGGUACUUUCCCGAACAAGAUUUCAAGGGAACUUUCCGAUUGCAGAUGACGUUCAGUCCUCUUUCUCGACGGUGAAGUAAGACAGACCAAGCUCCUAUGAUGAGUCAGGUUUUUUAUCCUAGGCUAGGUUCAACUCCUCUUUUGUGGGAAUCUAUUGAAACAGGAUAUUUCACAAUAACUCCAUAAUGGGAAUUUGACUCUCGAGCAUCUGGUAUAGCACUUUGUAAAUACACUGCCUGCAUCCCUAUCCUUUGGAAUCUUAUCUUGAUUCUUAGUCGCCAACACUGUCAACUCUCCCUUUAGCACUUGUUCCUGCCCGAACUCCAUUUUGAUAACUACUUGCUCCGAGUCAAGUCAAACAAUUAUUUCUGACUUAUGCGCAUAUAAGAUAGGAAUGUCAGAAAGCCCUCCUAACUAAGCGGACUUUUGAUUCGUUGUUUGUUCCUCUCGCAAACUCAAAUGGAAAAAUGGAAUGGCCAAGUUCCAAUUCGACUUACUUACGGAAAAUACUGGUUGCUAACUUAUAUUACGGUUGCGGUCAGCGGGACAGGACAAUGAAUUGAAUCUAUAGUGGAAUCUAUCGUAUGUAGAAGCAAGCAAUUCAAUGAAAGUAGACAAGAGGAGAAGCGCACGUAAGGUUAAAGCCCCUAGGCAGUAAAAGAAAGGACUUGCGAAUUAAGAGCAAGCCAUCCCAUCCUAUUGAAGAAGAGAAAAAGCUUUCUCUGGUGAUGAAGAAGGAUUGAUUAGUUAGUUAGUUUGAAGCAGGAUCUUUUGCCGAAGCCGAAUCGAUAGAUUCCAUGACUGGUUAAGUAGAGUUGAGAGAACAAGUUCACAAGCAAGUUCCAGAGUGAUUUGUUGGGUGUUCAGAGUAAGGAGA